rnacentral:pre_miRNA from 1 species
UUUGUACUCCCUCCGUCCCAAAAUUCUUGUCUUAAAUUUGUCUAAAUACGGAUGUGUCUAGUUACAUUUUAGUGUUAGAUACAUCCGUAUCUAAACAAAUGUAAGACAAGAAUUUUGGGACGGAGGGAAUACUAC